GACAAAAAUAAAAUAUACAUAUAAAUAGAGAGGUAACUAAAUAUCACCACAACAAAAUAUGCGGAAGUAACUUAACUGACAUCUAUUGUAAAACUGUAUGUUACCCCACCAUGCCCAAGCCUCAAGUGGUAAGAGGCUAAAGUAAAUUAAAAUAUCAGUGGAAGAUGAAUAAAGUUUUUAACUGAGGUAGCUGAGAUGUAAUUUGCCGCGGUUC